GUAGGGAAUAUUGGUCAAUGGACGAAAGUCUGAACCAGCCAUUCCGCGUGCAGGAAGAAGAUUCUAUGGAUUGUAAACUGCUUUUAGCAGAGAAGAAACGCCUUCAUUGAUGAGGGUUUGACGGUAUCUGCGGAAUAAGCACCGGCUAACUCCGUGCCAGCAGCCGCGGUAAUACGGGGGGUGCAAGCGUUAUCCGGAAUCACUGGGUUUAAAGGGUGCGUAGGCGGGAAAUUAAGUCAGUGGUGAAAGUCUGUUGCUUAACGAUAGAAUUGACGUUGAUACUGAAUUUCUUGAAUUGGGUUGAGGUUAGCAGAAUGUGACAUGUAGCGGUGAAAUGCAUAGCUAUGUCAUGGAACACCAACUGCGAAGGCAGCUAGCUGGGCCUUGAUUGACGCUGAGGCACGAACGCGUGGGUAGCGAACAGGAUUAGAAACCCUGGUAGUCC
rnacentral:rRNA from 1 species